rnacentral:rRNA from 1 species
GACGAACGCUGGCGGCGUGAUUAACACAUGCAAGUCGAACGCUGAAGCUUGGUGCUUGCACUGGGUGGAUGAGUGGCGAACGGGUGAGUAAUACGUGAGUAACCUGCCCUUGACUCUGGGAUAAGCCUGGGAAACUGGGUCUAAUACUGGAUAUGACAUGCCACUGCAUGGUGGUGUGUGGAAAGGGUUUUACUGGUUUUGGAUGGGCUCACGGCCUAUCAGCUUGUUGGUGGGGUAAUGGCCUACCAAGGCGACGACGGGUAGCCGGCCUGAGAGGGUGACCGGCCACACUGGGACUGGGACACGGCCCAGACUCCUACGGGAGGCAGCAGUGGGGAAUAUUGCACAAUGGGCGGAAGCCUGAUGCAGCGACGCCGCGUGAGGGAUGACGGCCUUCGGGUUGUAAACCUCUUUCAGCACGGAAGAAGCGAGAGUGACGGUACGUGCAGAAGAAGCGCCGGCUAACUACGUG